GAAAAGUUUGGUCCUGGCUUUAAAAUCAGCUAUAACUGACACUACACAUGCAAGUAUCCGCCCGCCAGUGAAAAUGCCCUUAUAUACCCACCACAGGAUAUAAGGGGCCGAUAUCAGGCACACCUAUAUUAGCCAACGACAUCUUGUUAAGCCACACCCUCAAGGGCACGCAGCAGUGACAGACAUUGAGACAUAAGCGCACAGCUUGACUCAGCUACAGUUUCCUGGGCUGGUCAAUCUCGUGCCAGCCGCCGCGGUUACACGAGAGGCCCUAGCCGAUAUCAUGCGGCGUAAAGAGUGACUAACAGAGCUAAUCUAACCUUAUUAAGACAAAAAAAACAACUCGGCUGUCAUACGCACCAGUUUACCAUGCCCCCUGACUCGAAAGUAGCCUUAAACUUAAAAGACCCUCUAGACAUCACGACCGCUAGGGCACAAACUGGGAUUAGAUACCCCACUAUGCCUAGCCACAAACCUUGAAUAUUUACACACAACUCCGCCAGGGGAUUACAAGCAACAGCUUAAAACCCAAAGGACUUGGCGGUACCUCAAACCCGCUCAGAGGAGCCUGUUCUAUAAUCGACACCCCGCGCUAAAACCCAACCACCUAUCGCAACGUCAGCCUAUAUACCACCGUCCCCAGCUUACCUUUUGAAAGAAAAACAGUAAGCAAAGCGACCACAUCAAUACGUCAGGUCAAGGUGUAGCAUAUUAGGUGGAAUGAAAUGGGCUACAUUUUCUUUUUAAGAACAAACGGAUAAUCCUAAUGAAAAUAGCUUUGAAGGCGGAUUUGACAGUAAAAAGAAACCACUAUAUUCUCUUUAAGUCGGCCCUGAGGCACGCACACACCGCCCGUCACCCUCAUCAAAUCAUUGCACUAAAAUAAAUAAAACAUAUGCUAAACACAAGAAGAGGCAAGUCGUAACAUGGUAAGCGCACCGGAGGGUGCUCUUGGAACAAC
rnacentral:ncRNA from 1 species